GAGUAAACAGAGAAGUGGCCUGGAUGAUGACGAAUUGAUGAUGACCUCUAUCUAACCUGUCUCGCGUUGUUGAGGCGACCAAAGGUGAAUUUUUUUGUUUUUUUUUUGUUUUUUGUUUCUCUGCUUGAUAUUUGGGGUCCUGUUUGUAAAAUUAUGCUAUGUGUUUGGAUAAGCGGAUAAUUGGGAACAGAGAUUUUAGUGUAAAGAGCUAACUCGUGUGUGUGUUUUUCUUUUACUCUUGUGGUACAGAAUACAUACUUUGAUAUAUUUACAAAUAGAAAUAAAUUAAUGAUAUUACUAACUAGGAAUUAACCCGCAUAUUAUGCGGAUAAUAUUUUUAAUUAUAUUUAAAUUUAAUUUAUUAUUUUUAUUAAAUUAAAUUGGUGACAAAAGUUCUUUACCCAAAAAUAUAAAUAAAUAAAAUUGGUGACAAUUAGAUAACAAUAUCUAUAUAAAUAUCACACAACUGAUAUUUACUUGUAUAUAUAUUAUUAUGCGGUUUAAUUAUUAGUAGCUUUUUUAAAUAUGAAAGUGAUAUGAUAUUAAUAUAUAUAUAUACUUAUAUACAUACCAACAUGGAUUAAAAUCUAAUAUAUAUAUAUAUAUAUUCAUAAAAUAAAAAAUUUAAUUGUGAAUAUUUUAUUAGAGAUCAAACUAUCAUUUUUAAUUAAUAACUUAUAUAAUAUGUGUUAACAAUAAUUAUAUAUAGGAUUGUCAAAAUAGAAAAACCCGUCUACUUAAUAUAUUUCACAAUUUACUAAACUAUUUUUUGGCCAACUCGUUAAAAAAAAUAAUUUAAAUUUUGAAAACAUAAUUUUAUUUUUAUAUAAAUAAUCAAACUGAUUUUCGAAAAUAAUACUAAAUAAUAAUGAAAAUACAAAUGAAAAAAUAUUGCAAAAGUUUAAAUUGAUUUUUUCAUAUAUAUGGAUUGAUUAUUAUUUAAAAUAAUAGAAUAUAUUUUAAUAUUUUAAUAAGUAAAGAAAUUAAAUAUACUUUUGAUUUAUAUCCAUAUAUUUAAUUGAGCUUUCUAUAUUUGUAAAGUUUGUUUAAGUAAUAUCUUCUAAAUAAAGGUUUAUUUAUGUAAUAUCUUAUAAAUAAAUGUUUAUUUAUGUAAAAUAUUCUGUAAUAUCUUACAAAUAAAAGUUCAUUUAUAAAAUGUCUACUCAAAUAAUAAUAUAGAGAUUGAAAUAAAUAAGAAAUUAAUUGUUAUGAAUUUAAGUUUAGUUUUUAAUAUACCUAAAAUGUAUUUAUAGCAAAAGCGAAACUCAAGACAAACCGAACCAAAUCUUAAAAAUGAAAAAUAAAGGUUGCAGAUACUGAUCAUUCGGUUAUAUCAGCCAAUCGAUCAAUUCCAAAAGAUUAGCUUGCAAUGGUCUCAUCGAUUGGCUGUAUCGGCUUGUUGAUUGAUGUCAAGUUUCUCCAAAUAAUUUGUGUUGGUGGUACGCUCCGCUACCCGGUUCGAACCGGUUAAAAACCGAGACCGGCCCAAUUGAUUCCGAUUUACGAUGGUUUUAGUCGAAAUGGGUCUGGUUUGACAGCACGGCCCAUAAAAACGCAGGCCCAGUGACAAAAGGCGAUGAGAGUUGACCGAGAAGCUCUAAAACUUCUCCUCGCUUAUGUACUAUAAAUAGUGGGAUUGUUACUGUAGAAGAAGCCUUUUUUCGGACCUGGAGAAUAGAGACCUCAAUAUUAUUAUACACAGUUCGUCGAGAGACCUCCGAACUGAACAAACUGUAACUAAAAACUUAAUAAAAUAAAAUCAAAUUAAUCUUCCGAACUCGAAUUACCGAACCGACCCUAAUAGUUGAGAACCACAAUCAACAAUUGGCGCCCAUCGUGGAGCCAAUUCGGUAAUCGACCUCGAAGACAUGACAGCUGACGAAAGACAACCGACCUCAGUCCAGGUCGGGAGUCAAAUGACCAGUGCAGACAACCCCACCCAGGUCGAAGGACAUACAGGGGAAGGCGAACACAGCCCCAUGCGACCUCAACCUGAGAUGCAACAGACUAGAGCAGAGCCGAGCUCAAGCACUGCGGCUCACCAGGCGUCGACAGCUGCCUUCGAUCCAACCGCUCUCAUGAACGCUUUCGCUGCCCAAAUGCAGGAACUGGUCCGAAGCAACGAUGCCAAAUUUGUGACUCUCACCGUGCAGAUUUCUAGCCUGCAACAAGAGAAUCCGUUUAGACGACGAAACCUCAUCAGCGACUUUCAGGGAGAGCGAGACCCACAAUACACGGCGGCACGGUCGGCCUUGAGGACGCGCUUCACAAAUCAAACAUCUUCAUUGCGGAAGAAGAAGAAGAAGCCGCCAAAGAUCGGCAGUAUUCAGCGUCAAAGCCCGACCAGACCUUGACCACCAAAGAUAACUCGGAAACGAAAGUCCAGUCCGGAAAACCACACGGAGUAGUGAACCAGGCAGGACCGUCAAACCAAAAGUCAGGACGGCCACCAAAAUCUUGGAACACGUGGAAUAGAGAAGAUGACACGCCGCUAAGUGAACGUUUUUGGGAGUAUCACGAGCGAUAUGGACAUAGCACGGAGGAAUGCCAACAUUUGAGGAACUUUUUACUUCAACAGUUCCGCAAGGGCGAGAUCGACACCGCAGAUUUGCCUAAACACGUACCCCGGCGGCCGAACCCGCGACCAAACAAACCCAUCAAUCAAGAGGCUGCUAAGGCAGCCGAUUCUGAUGAAGAGUAGGUCGCUCUCCCUAAACGAGACCGCGAAGCACCUAAUAAAGAAACGAAUGUACCCAAAACCAGGAAGAAGGUCAAUAUGAUUAUGGGAGCCCUCGAAUCAUGCAACUACUCCGUCCAAGCCCUGAAAGAAUAUAGCCGGCAGGCAUCGAGUUCGCAACCCCAGACACGGUCACAACCGUACCACUGUUAUUCACCGACGCCGACCUGCGGGGAGUGCAUAUACCUCAUAAUGAUUGCCUCGUUGUUGAGCUUCAGCUCGGAGACGUCGAAGUAAGCAGGAUAUUAAUCGACACGGGAAGUUCGGUAAACGUCAUAUUCAAAGAAACACUCAAGAAUAUGGACUUUCCGGAUUCCGAGAUCAAGCCUUACAUGGAAUCAUUGACCGGGUUCACCGGAGAGAAAACAAGAACAGUAGGAACGGUAAAGAUACCCAUCUAUAUCGGCGGGUCAGCCCGAAUGAUCAAGUUCUUAGUCCUCAACAAGCCGGCAAUAUACAAUGCGAUUUUGGGAACGCCAUGGCUGUUCGACAUGAAGGCCGUCGCUUCAACGUUCCAUCAGUGCGUCAAGUUCCCGACCCCGUCAGGGAUUUUCACCCUCAAAGGAAGCCAGACUGCGUCCCGGUUAUGCCAUCUAACCGAGUGCAAGCUCAGUCUCGCACGAACAUGCGUCAUCAGCCCCUUUCAGGAAGACCGUGCGGCCGCAGUAAGCCAGUUCGGACCACCUAAGCAGAGCCGAGUUGAGCAAGUCGGCAUCGAGCCGAUAGAUCCAGAAAAAUGUGUCGCCAUAGGGGCCAAACUCGACAACAAUAUUCAGGAAGCACUCAUCAGUUUCCUCCAGAAGAACGUCUCCACAUUCGCAUGGACUAUCAGCGACAUGCCCGGAAUCAAUCCAGAUAUCACUUGCCACGAGCUAAAUAUCAAUCCUACAUACAAACCUAUCAAACAGAAGAGACGCAAGCUCGGACCCGAGAAAGCACGAGCGGUUAACGAUGAGGUCGAAAAAUUGCUCAAAGCCGGUUCGAUCACGGAGGUUCGAUACCCGGACUGGCUAGCGAACCCGGUAGUCGUGAAGAAGAAGAAUGGAAAAUGGAGAAUUUGCGUCGACUUCACCGACCUGAACAAAGCUUGUCCCAAAGAUAGUUUUCCACUACCACACAUUGAUCGAUUGGUAGAGGCGACUGCCGGCAACGAACUGUUAUCUUUCAUGGAUGCUUUCUCAGGGUACAACCAAAUACUAAUGCAUCCGGAUGAUCGGGAAAAGACCUCGUUCAUCAUAGAUCGAGGAAUCUACUGCUAUAAGGUCAUGCCCUUCGGCCUCAAGAACGCGGGGGCCACAUAUCAAAGCCUUGUGAACCGCAUGUUCGCCAGUCAGCUCGGAAAAACGAUGGAAGUAUACAUUGACGACAUGCUCGUUAAAUCCCUGUACGCCAAGGACCACAUAUCGCACCUAUCAACAUGUUUCGACAUUCUGAACGAAUACGGGAUGAAACUCAAUCCCGCCAAGUGCACCUUCGGCGUAACAGCAGGCGAGUUCCUCGGUUACAUCGUCACCGAGCGCGGCAUCGAGGCUAACCCAAAGCAGAUAUCCGUAGUAUUGGACCUACCUUCCCCGACAUCAAAAAGGGAAGUGCAAAAACUCACAGGCCGGAUCGCCGCCUUGACUGAUAAGUGCCUGCCUUUCUAUCAGUUGUUACAAGGUAACAAGCAUCAUACUUGGAGCGCCGAGUGCGAAGACGCCUUCUAGCAGCUGAAAACGUAUCUCUCGACUCCCCUCAUCCUAGCUAAGCCUGAGAACGGCGAGAUGCUAUUCUUAUACAUCGCAAUUUCCACAUCAGCGGUUAGCAGUGUUCUAGUCCGCGAAGACAGGGGGGAACAGCGUCCAAUAGUCUAUGUCAGCAAAUCGCUAAGUGACGCGGAGGUCAGAUAUCCCACCUUAGACAAAUUGGUGCUUGCAGUGGUGGUUUCCGCUCGGAAACUUCGUCCAUACUUCCAAUCUCAUUCGAUCACAGUCUUGACCGACCAGCCGCUCCGAACCAUUUUACACAGUCCAAACCAAUCAGGUCGCCUCGCGAAAUGGGCCGUCGAACUAAGCGAGUACGACAUAGAAUACAAGAAUCGAACCAGUGCGAAAUCCCAAGUACUCGCCGAUUUUCUGAUCGAGCUCCCUAAAGAGUUCGUUGUCAAACAGCCGCCCCACGAGCUAUAGACAUUGCAUGUGGAUGGAUCAUCAUCACACCGAGGAUCGGGUGUCGGAAUUCGCUUAAAGUCCCCGAACGGCGAAAUCCUCGAACAAUCAUUCCGCCUUGAGUUUCCAGCAUCCAACAACGAGUCUGAAUACGAAGCUUUACUCACCGGACUUGGAUUAUCCCAGGAGCUCGGCGUGCGACAUCAUCACGCCUUUUGUGAUUCGCAGCUCGUCGCAAGUCAGUUAAGUGGCGAGUACACGACCAAAAACGAACGAAUGGAUGCAUACCUGAAAACAACUAAGGCACUCAUCUCGAAGUUUGAGACGUUCGAGCUUACAAUAAUCCCUCGCGGCAAGAACUCGUCCGCUGACGCGCUAGCCGCCCUAGCCUCCAGUUCUGACCCGCAUAUGAAGAGGAAAAUCCCGGUCGAGAGCAUCUCAGAACCAAGCAUCAAAACUGCACAGGAAUGCAACGUUGCCACCCGGCGACAGAAGUACGAUAAAAAUCCGAACCCGAUCUCGCCGAACGCGCAACGCAAGAAUCCUGUUGCCGACCACGACUUCGAAUACAUAAUUGAGGGAAUUCACAGCCCAUCGACCAGUGAGAACCAAAGAACCGAGCCCUCCGAAGAUUGGACAGCCGAACUACGAGAGUACCUUCUCAACGGCAAAGUCCCCAAAGAUAAAUGGGCUGCUCGCCGUCUUAAAGUCCGGGCCGCUCAUUACAAAAUGCAUAAAGAUAAACUAUACCGUUAGAGCGCGUCCGGAGUACUCUUGGUCUGCGUCGCCGGAAACGAUAUAGUCAAAAUCAUAUGCGAAAUCCACGAAGGAUCCGGUGGUAAUCACUCGGGAGGUCGAUAUAGCCGACGAUGAACGCAGAUUGCGAGAAGUUUGUCACGAAGUGCGACAAGUGCCAGCGGCACGGCCCAAUGAUCAACGUGCCGACCGAGCUGCUGCAAACCAGCACGGCGCCUUACCCCUUUAUGCGGUGGGCCAUGGACAUCAUUGGCCCUUUAUGCCGAUCAACAAGUCAAAAGCAGUACAUCUUGGUUAUGACAGACUACUUCACGAAAUGGGUUGAGGCCGAAGCGUACUCCGAGAUCACCGCACUAGACGUGCAAAAAUUCGUUUAGAAGUAUCUCAUCUGCCGACACGGGGUCCUGCAUGAGAUCAUCACGGACAACGGACCACAAUUUAUCGCUGGAACGUUCAAUGAUUGGUGCGUAAAGUUCAAAAUUCAUCUUAGUUUCUCGACCCCACGCUAUCCGCAAGGCAACGGUCAGGCCGAGGCAACCAACAAGACCAUCCUGGAUGGCAUAAAGAAGCGUCUCGAGGCUAAGAAAGGCACCUGGCCGGACGAGCUCGACGGAGUCUUAUGGUCGCAUCGAACUACUCCACGACGAUCGACCGGACAGUCUCCCUUCUCCUUGCCUGACGGACUCGAAGCCCUCUGUCCGGUCGAAGUUAGCAUCCCAACCUUAAGAUACUCCGUGCUCCCUGAGAACCCCGAUCUCAAUGACCAAAUGAUGAUCACAACCUUGACAACUUGGAGGAACAACGAUGCUUAGCUCUCCUCCGAAUCCCGAACUAUCAAAACCUCGCUGCUCGGUACUAGAACAAGAAAGUGCGAGGUCGGCACUUCAACGAAGGCGACCUCGUCCUCCCCAAGGUCUUUCACAACACCAAAGAGCUAAAUGCGGGCAAGCUGGAAACGAACUGGGAAGGCUCAUAUCAGAUAAUGAGGAUCGUCAAGCCCGGGGUAUACGAACUCAUGCAACUCGACGGAACGCCGAUCCCGCGAUCAUGGAACUCAGCCAACCUCUAACGGUAUUACUAUUAAGUCCCAGCCACCGCAAGCUCGGACUAAUCACUCUACCGCCACCAGCGCGUUCAAAAAAAAAAAAAAAAAAAACAGUCCGUCUCCGGCCGAACUCACCCUUGUAAACUGAACUACGAGUGGCUUGAUCCCUUGCAAAAGGGUACAUAGGCAGCUCGAUUUUCGAGUCCAGCUAAAAAUCCAAUAAAAUCCAUCUUUUUCACUGACUCCACAUAUCGACUCCCCAGCCAGGAGAUCGAACUAAGUAUUCCCCACGAAUGCAAUUUAAAAAGCCGAGAUCAAUCUCGCCCGCAUCCCCAUGAUGCCCCAUCGUUCGAAGCCGGAACCCAAUCCGCACUCGCUCUUCCGAAUAGCAAUCCGUCAACCACGAUUCAAGUUCGGAAAAGCCUCCCGAGUUCGGCCGCGUCGUCACAAUAACAUCACGAACUCCCCAAAAUUCAAUGAAAACGAGCCGAACUCCCAACAGUUCGUAAAUAAAAUACGAGGAAAGAAUUCUAAGUAAAAAACCGCGGCAAAGAAAACCGCGCUCAUUUCAUUAAUACCCGAAAAAAUUGCCGAACUAGACGGCAACAAUACAAUUCCAAAAACCGGCGACCAAAAACAAUUCAUUGAGACCCGAACUGUGCGGGUAAGGUAGCUUUACAACCUAAAACAACAUAAUAAAAAGAAAACUAAGGGAUUUAUUGGCGAGCAAUAGACGCCAGACUCUUCAGACUCGCUGCCCGAUCAGCCGAGAUAGACUUGGAGUUUGAACCGAACUGGUCCAAGCCUUCCGGUACUUGCGUUCCCGGCGGAAGCACGAUCCUUGGGAUGAGGUCGCAUCGACCGGAAGAAUGAAGUCUUCAUUCUCGAGCCGCGGGAGAGGGAUAGCAUCGACAUCCUUUGUACAGUUCCUGAUUCGGCGUUCAUAUGUCUCCACAAUGUGAGGCAGAACGACCAUGUUAUGCUCCCGCCUGAGGAAAUCGCAAAAGCCGACCAGAGCUGUCGCUUGGUUAAGCUUGACGAACGGCGCCUUUCUGAGCUCGGACUUGUCCAUAAAGUCCUUCAUCUUGGCCAGCUUUCCCUCGCAUUUGUCCCUAAGUGCGGCCAUCAUCUUCCUGCCCUUUGACUCGGCAUCCCGGUACUUCCGCAUAUCGAGCUCGCUCGUUUUGAACGACUUGGACAGGGCGUCCAUAUCACCCUCCAGCUCGGCAGUCCGCUUCUCUAGAGCCCCGACCUUCUCCUUCAAGGCAACGUUCUCCUACUCAUUCUUGGUGAAGGCCAGCACGGAGGCCUCGUACCUCUCCUUCUCGUUCCGAUACGAUACUUCCAACGACGCCCUCUCAGCAGCGACAUCUGCGUUGAUUUUCCUCAGCCUCUCGACUUCGGAGUCAUACUCACUUACGAGCUUGUUGGUAUCGCAGACGAGCUGAAAAUGGAGAUAAAAGUCAGAAAUACUUCAAAAUUAAAACGCCUAAGUAUCAAAAUAAAAUGAAAAAGAACUUACAGCAGAGGCAGAUCUCGGGACCCGAGCAUAAGACUUGGGGCAGAAGAGAUCUUUAGUCUCGGGCAUUGGAGACGAGGCCGGGACGAUCUGCCUAAAGAGCUCGGCGCAGGCAGAAGCAUCGUCGAAGAAGGACCGCUCUUUGUUGUAGUUGAGGCGGACUGAGAAGGAUGACGAGUCAGAAGUUCGGCGCCUCUUAGACGACUUCGGGUUCCCGGUCUCAGCUGCCGGAUCCGCGGGAGGAACCUGAGAAGCGGUGGGCGACCUGAUGGUGUGACUUGAUGUGGUGGUGUCGAGGGUUGUCAAGUUUUACCCUAAUUGAAAUCAAUAGCCGCAAGUGCACAGCUGAUCGAUUGUAGUACUUAGGGAUCGAAUCCACAGGGAAGGAGGAUCUUUUCCUGCAAAAAGCCUUUGAAAUAAGUAUAAAGUAAAGAAGUCUAGAACAAAAACGGUUUUGUGGGGGGGGGUUUGGUAGUAUGUUUAAAAUCUAAAAACGAAAUAUUAAAAGAGAAUACGAGAAUUAAAUGACGUAAUAACUAAACUUAAUGAAAAUGACUAAAAAUGAUAAAAACGGAUAUUCUAAUGCUUAAAUGAAAAUGAACUAAAAAGGAAAGACAAUAUUGAACUAAAGCUUUAAAGAAAAACGGUGUAAAUCAAUAAGGAAGAAGGCGUUGGGCUUCAGGAAAGUUUUCUCAGGGGUACGAACGAUUCAAAACAUUGCUAGAGAGUAAAAUUGAUAAGAUCUUAGCUUAAACUUUUCGAACUGGAGUCACGGACGUAUGAAUAUGCCACUGUCGUGAUCAUAGACAACUAUCUCUCUCAACCCUGACCAGUAGGUUUCCACUCUGGCCCUGGAAGAGAAGAGAUGCAUUAUGUUUAAGACUCGUCCUAAUUCACAAAUCGCCCAUAGGUAGGUUUCCACUCCUAUGUUUGUUUUGCUCUCCCAAACUAGAUCUGAUACCUGAUGAACACUUUCGUGUCACCAAGCAUCUGGAUCAGACUGUAGUUCAUGACGCUACCUUCAUGCAGUAAAAACGAAUUCAGAAGAAAAAGUUCUAAGAUUCGGCUCAAAAGCUCAUAGAAUUCUCAUUGAACAUAUAAAUCCCCAUCGAAUAUCCCUUAAUCCCAACAAUAAAACUACUCAGACAUAAUGAAUGAAAUCAAAGACAUAAUAUUAAGAAGUAGAAUAGAAACCGAAAUAGAAAAAGAAAGAACAAGGGUUCAAGAGAACAAAUCUCUCUCUCUCCCUAAAAGCUAAAGCAAAAACAAUAAGAAUAUGAAGUAAAUAUUUCGGUGGUGAUAGGUUCUCUCCGUUUAGGGUUCCUAAGACAUGUAUUUAUAGUGCUCAAGACCUCUCUGGACGUCACUUAAGGUUUCUCCAAAUGUGGGCUUCAGAAAUGGGCUUUUUGGGCUCGGAGGUUGAUGGCCCCGGUCGGGAGGGCUCUGACCGCGGGGAAUGAGUGGUUUGCCGCGGUCGGGAUGCUCCUGACCGCGGGAAAUUGCUUGUUGGCCGCGGGUGGAAGUGCUUGCCGGCUGGUUUACGGGACAUCUUGCUCUUCGCGUAUCUUUUGAUUGAACCGUUGGAUUUCCAAGCUGUAAAGUGCACUGGAAAGCUGAUACUUCCAUCUUUAAGGUCUCCAAAUUUGAGCUGGAUCAGACGGUGAAAAGGCCUUCAAUCAAGGGUGAACUUCUGACGGUUUGACUCUGAGCUAAAAUCUGGUUUUCUAUCCAUUUUGUUAAGCUUUUCCCUAAGUUACUUGAAAAGAGUCUUGGAACUACAAAUACUAGAAAAACGUAAUAAAAAUACUUAAAAGCAAUUAAAAACAUAGAAAAAGUAUUUCAAAACGAUCCAUAAAAGUGGUCAAAAUACGGUGUUAUCACGACCCACCAAUGUCCCCUCCAUGAAGGACCAGCGUCCCCUCUGAUGAGGGCAUAGAACCACAAGCUCCACCUAUACCAGCCGUGAGACAAAGACCAAGAACAAGAUCUGGGCCAUUCCGAGUCUUGGAGAAGAUCAAUGACAAUGCAUACAAGCUGGAGCUGCCAGGUGAGUUUAACAUAUCUCCUACUUUCAAUGUUACUGACGUGUCUCCUUAUGUUGCAGAUGAACCUGUUCUGAGGUCAGAACCUUCUCAAGAGGGAGGGGAUGAUGAGGGCAUAGAACCACAAGCACCACCUAUACCAGCCGUGAGAUAAGGACCAAGAAAAAGAUCCAGAACUAGAGUCUUGAGAGAAGAGUUUAAUCAAGCUAUUGAAGCCUUACUUAGCAUCCACGAGCAAGAAGACUCUUUGUACCCAAGCUUUAAGGCCACGGUCCAAGAAAGAAGCCUGGAAGAGCCUAAUAAAGGAGAAGCCUAUCUCAUACAAGACGGCCCAACAGCUGAAUUACCACUUCUCCGACCCAACAAAGAAGUGUCCUUAUUCAGCAUCAGCAUCACGCCAACUUAAGACCAUCCUAGCCGUCCAACCCACCAAGGUAAGGGAAUGAAUACGUUUAUUUACUUGCCUAAUAUGGUUUUUCUGUCUUUGGUUUGUUUUACAGGUUCCAUUCAUAGUUUUAAGUCUUAGAAUAUUUCUUUAGUUAUUGCACGAGUCUGUUCCUUUAGAGUCCCAGAAAGUUGUGUUCUUUUAUGUAAUUUGCUUCAAGUCCCCAAGAAGGGAAAGCUGCAUUGGACUCUCUUAUAAAGUCCCUUAUAAGCAGCCGUGUAUCUUUUACCCUACUAUCAAUAAAAUAACGCAGUUCUUCAAGCUUUUGUCUUACCUUUGAAUUCUCUGAAUUUGUUUGAGAGUUGGUGUUUGAUCCUUCUCUUGAGAGUUGGUGUUUGAUCCAUCUCUUGCCGGUCUUAUCAGAGUUCAGUCCAUAGAGCUUUGUGGCGACCCUCGUUCCACCGUGUGCAUCAUCAUUCGCUUCAUUCCUUGACUCAAUCAGAGAGAGUUACACAAUCAACUGAUCGAGUUCCAUCCUCUUUUCAUAUCAAACCCAUUCCUGUUCUUGUUGAGAGAGUUACACAACCAACAACAAGGAUCCAUCCCCAUCUAUAGGCCCGUGCCUUAUUAUCUGGUAUCAGAGCCGAAAGGUUCCAAACCAGGUUUUAUCUUCUCAUACCUUUCGGUUAAAAAUUUCUUUUGCAUCUUUGUUUUUCUUGUCGCACACUUAUUCCAAAAAAAAAAAGGAGUUCUAUUCUGUUGCAUACAUAGCAUAUCAUCUUGAGCGUUCACCUAUAGCUCUAGGAUCAUUAUCCUUAAUAACAUUCAUAGUCAUUCUCCUUAGCAUCAUUCCCAUCGACUAGUUGCGGCUCAUUGUUAGAACCAGAAUCUGUCAAAAGCCCUAGUUAGUCAGAAAAGGAAAGUUUUCAUAAUCACGUAUAAAAAAAAAAGGAAAGAACAAAAACAACACUUAGUCGUAUUUCAAUUUCUCUUUUGCACUUGAUCUCUGUUUGCUCUUGAACGUAGACACCAAUCAUGGGAGACAAUGCCGCACCUCUACCAGAAGUCAUGCAGCAAUUACUUGACGGUAUGAGGACUCUGAGCGACCGUCUUAACUUGAUGGAACAACGGUUGCCACCACCAGCCCAACCCAACAACAAUGGGAACCAACCAAGGCAACAACAUGACCACGAUGGAGAAGAGACUGAUGAUGACCUGCCUAAUCUCGAAGAUGAACUCCCACCUGACCCAAAUCACCGGCGUGGCAGACGGGAUAACCAUGGCCAAGGCCAGCAUCAGCGCCGUGAAAGAGGGAGGAGCCGAGAGAGAGAUAGAGAAGACGAGAGACAUGGAGGCAAAGAUCUUAAACUUACACCACCUACCUUUGCUGGAAAGGUCAACCCCGAGGCUUACCUGGAUUGGGAAAGAAGAAUGGAUCAUAUCUUUGAUUACUACCAAUAUUCCGAAGCCAAGAAGGUGUCUCUAGCCGUCGCACAGCUGACCGACAAUGCUCUCACUUUGUGGGACCGAGAAGUCUCUGAAAGACGGAGGCUAAGACGUGGCCAGAUCACCACUUGGGAGGACAUGACAUUUCACCUAAGGAAGAGGUAUGUACCCGCUUAUUACUUUAGAGACUUACAGAAAUGUUUUCGGAAGUUGUCUUAGGGAAACAGGUCCGUAGAAGAUUACUACGAGGAGUUUGAGACCAUCAGAAAUCGAUUGGAGCUUCAAGACUCGGAGGAUACAUUGAUGGCCCAAUUCGUUGAUGGCCUCCAAGAUAGAAUUGUGAGGAAAGCAGAGUGGCAGAGCUAUGAACACAUGGAGGAUCUACUGCACUUUGCCAUACAAGCUGAGCAGCAUUUCAAGAAGAAAGCAGCCACUAACCGAGGAAAGCCUAAUUGGACUCAGCCCUUCUCUAAACCGAUGGACAAAGGCAAAUCUAUAGAAGUGGAAAGUCGGUUCAAGAAACCAGCUUCCGGGCCAUCAAAACCGGCUCCACAUGAGCAAGGUAAGGCCCCUAAUCAAAGGUCUCGAGAUAUAGCGUGCUUUAAGUUUCAGGGAAAAUGCCACUUUGCAAAAGAAUGCCCGAAUCAAAGAGUAAUGGUAUUGAGAGACAAUGGAGAGUAUGAGUCACAAGAUGAGGCCGAGCUAGAAGCCACUGACUCAGAAGAAGAGGUAACCGAUUUCUCUGAGGUUGGAGAGAUGUUGGUAAUCAGGAGAUCUCUUGGUGCGCUAAGUGACCCCGAGACACUCCAAAGAGAAAACAUCUUUCAUACAAGAUGUAGCAUUGGAAACAAGGUAUGUAGUCUCAUUAUAGAUGGUGGCUCUUGUACUAACGUGGCUAGCAAGUAUCUUGUAGACAAGUUAGGUCUUGAAAAGACAAAGCACCCAAGCCCAUACCGAUUAAGAUGGCUCAAUGAUACCACGGAGGUGAGGAUUGCGGAGCAAUUUGUUGUGCCAUUCAGCAUUGGAAAAUAUAGUGAUCAAGUCACGUGUGAUGUUGUACCCAUGCAAGCCGGUCACCUGCUCCUUGGGAGGCCAUGGCAAUUUGACAAAGAAACCAUGCACAGCGGUCGCACCAACUACUAUUCUUUCACUCACCACAACAAGAAGCACAACUUGGCCCCUCUCACGCCAUCAGAAGUUCAUGAUGCAGCAGGCCAUGAGCAAAGGAAGACAGCUAAGUAGAACUAAUCUAUUUGUCUCACCAAGUACAAUUCUUAAAACUCUCGAUCAUAAACAACCGGUAUUACUAAUGAUCUUUAGAGAAAGUUUGCUUUCAGGAACUGAGGAAGGUCCCGAGCUCCCACACGAGGUGGCUCAGCUAUUAGAAAAGUUCCAAGAUGUCUUUCCAGAAGAGAUACCAGCCGGUCUUCCACCUAUAAGAGGCAUUGAGCACCAGAUCGAUCUAGUACCCGGAGCACCCUUGCCUAACCGAGCCGCAUAUAGAGUUAACCCAACAGAGGCCAAAGAGCUAGAGGCUCAAGUCCAAGAUUUAAUGUCUAAAGGAUACAUAAGAGAGAGCCUCAGCCCGUGUGCAGUACCCGUCUUGUUAGUGCCCAAGAAGGAAGGCUCUUGGAGGAUGUGUGUGGACUGUAAGGCCAUUAACAACAUCACCAUCAAAUACAGGCACCCAAUUCCGAGAAUAGACGACAUGUUGGACGAGUUAAGUGGAGCUACUAUCUUUUCAAAGGUGGAUCUAAAGAGUGGCUAUCAUCAGGUGAGAAUGAAGGAAGGAGAUGAGUGGAAAACUGCCUUCAAGACCAAGCAAGGUCUAUACGAGUGGCUUGUGAUGCCUUUUGGCCUCACAAACGCCCCAAGUACCUUCAUGAGACUCAUGAACCACGUCUUGAGAGCAUACAUCUGUAAGUUUGUAGUGGUUUACUUUGAUGAUAUUCUGAUUUACAGCCAAUGCUUAGAAGAUCAUAUUAAGCAUCUUGAACAGGUUCUAGAGACACUUAGAUUAGAGGGUUUAUAUGCAAAUCUUAAGAAAUGUAUCUUCUGCAAUGAUCAAUUGGUAUUUUUAGGAUUUUUUGUAAGUUCUCAGGGUCUUAAAGUGGAUGAGGAGAAGAUUAAAGCCAUCCAAGAAUGGCCCACACCAUCCACGGUCGGACAUGUUAGAAGCUUUCAUGGUUUGGCAAGCUUUUACAGGCGCUUUGUCAAGGAUUUCAGUACUAUAGCAGCCCCAUUGACAUCGGUGAUCAAGAAGAACACUACUUUCACUUGGGGGCCGACUCAAGAAGCCGCAUUCAACAAGCUGAAGGAGAGCCUCACACAGGCACCGGUUUUAGUCCUUCCUAACUUUGAUAAAAUGUUUGAGGUUGAGUGUGAUGCAUCAGGUACUGGCAUAGGAGCUGUUCUAACUCAGGGAGGGAGGCCAGUAGCUUACUUCAGUGAGAAGCUAAGUGGAGCAACACUCAACUACCCAACUUAUGAUAAAGAACUCUAUGCUUUGGUGAGAUCACUAGAAAUGUGGCAACACUAUCUGGUUCCAGAGUUUAUCAUUCACACAGACCCUCAAGCACUUAAGAGGCCAGACGACACUUAAGAAAAGGCAUGCCCGAUGGUUAGAGUUCGUAGAAACCUUCCCAUAUGUGAUUAAGUACAAGAAGUGGCAAGAGAACGUUGUAGCUGAUGCACUUUCAAGGCGUUACACUCUCAUCUCUACAAUGGAAGCCAAGAUCAUGGGUUUUGAGCACAUCAAGGGUGGAUAUGAAUCUGAUCCCGACUUCUCAGAGGUCUACAAAGAAACUACAAGGGCCGCAUUUGGAGUAUUUUACCAACAAGAUGGAUUCCUAUUUAAGGAAAAGCGGCUAUGCAUCCCACAAGGGUCCAUGAGGGAGCUGAUCACUAGAGAGGCUCAUGGAGGCGGGUUAAUGGGACACUUUGGCCGAGACAAGACACUGAGCGUGCUGAUGGAGCACUUUUACUGGCCACACAUGCGAAGAGACGUGGAGAAGCUAUGCACCAAAUGCAUCAUUUGCCUCCGAGCUAAGUCCAGGUUACACCCUAAUGGUCUACAUAUGCCUUUAUCUAUUCCUAAUGCACCCUGGGUGGACAUUUCUAUGGACUUUGUUCUAGGCUUGCCUAAGAUACACAACAAAGACUCCAUUUUUGUAGUAGUAGACAGGUUCUCAAAGAUGGCGCACUUUAUACCAUGUAACAAGACCAAUGAUGCAACCCAAACAGCUGAUCUCUUCUUUAAAGAGGUCGUGCGUCUUCAUGGAGUGCCCAGGACCAUUGUUUCAGACCGAGACACAAAAUUCCUCAGCCAUUUUUGGAAGAUCUUAUGGAAAAAGCUUGGCACCAAACUAUUAUUCUCCACCACUUGUCAUCCCCAAACGGAUGGACAAACAGAGGUAGUAAACCGUACACUCUCAACCUUAUUGAGAGCCACGGUUGGUAAGAAUCUCAGGAAUUGGUUAUCUUGUCUACCUUUCAUUGAAUUUGCUUAUAACCGUUCAAAACACUCUGCUACUAACCAAUCUCCUUUUGAAGUUGUCUAUGGGUUCAACCAUCACACGCCUUUAGACCUUAUUACUUUACCACCAGCCAUCUAUUCAAGCGCAGAAGGAGAAGCUAAGGCCGAUUUUGUGAAGAAGCUGCCCCAAAAAGUUAAAGAGAAACUGGAGAAAAAGAACAAAAAGGACAAAGCAAGAAUUGAUAAAGGGCGCAAGGAGGUUACCUUUGAACCAGGAGAGUGGGUGUGGUUGCACAUGAGGCAAGAAAGGUUCCCACAACAAAUAAAAUCCAAGCUUGCACCAAGGGAAGAUGGGCCAUUCCGAGUCUUGGAGAAGAUCAAUGACAAUGCAUACAAGCUGGAGCUGCCAGGUGAGUUUAACAUAUCUCCUACUUUCAAUGUUACUGACGUGUCUCCUUAUGUUGCAGAUGAACCUGUUCUGAGGUCAGAACCUUCUCAAGAGGGAGGGGAUGAUGAGGGCAUAGAACCACAAGCACCACCUAUACCAGCCGUGAGAUAAGGACCAAGAAAAAGAUCCAGAACUAGAGUCUUGAGAGAAGAGUUUAAUCAAGCUAUUGAAGCCUUACUUAGCAUCCACGAGCAAGAAGACUCUUUGUACCCAAGCUUUAAGGCCACGGUCCAAGAAAGAAGCCUGGAAGAGCCUAAUAAAGGAGAAGCCUAUCUCAUACAAGACGGCCCAACAGCUGAAUUACCACUUCUCCGACCCAACAAAGAAGUGUCCUUAUUCAGCAUCAGCAUCACGCCAACUUAAGACCAUCCUAGCCGUCCAACCCACC
rnacentral:lncRNA from 1 species